rnacentral:rRNA from 1 species
AACGAACGCUGGCGGCAUGCCUAACACAUGCAAGUCGAACGAGACCUUCGGGUCUAGUGGCGCACGGGUGCGUAACGCGUGGGAACCUGCACUUAGGUUCGGAAUAACUCCCCGAAAGGGGUGCUAAUACCGGAUAAUGUCUUCGGACCAAAGAUUUAUCGCCUUUGGAUGGGCCCGCGUUGGAUUAGCUAGUUGGUAGGGUAAAAGCCUACCAAGGCGACGAUCCAUAGCUGGUCUGAGAGGAUGAUCAGCCACACUGGGACUGAGACACGGCCCAGACUCCUACGGGAUGCAGCAGUGGGGAAUAUUGGACUAUGGGCGAAAGCCUGAUCCAGCAAUGCCGCGUGAGUGAUGAAGGCCUUAGGGUUGUAAAGCUCUUUUACCCGGGAUGAUAAUGACAGUACCGGGAGAAUAAGCUCCGGCUAACUCCGUG